UUAUUAUUACUCUGCUUAUCCCUUUUUUCAUCAUGUGGUCGGACACGCGGUGUUAAUUCCUAAUCCACCGUAACCUCUAGAUUCAGAUCAACAGUCUUUUGUUCUGUUGUUACGAUUUCUAUCCUAAGUUCUUUUACUACCAAGUUGGUUAAGUAAAUUUAGUCCUUGUCCGAUGAUACAAUUUUUACCCCUCGGUUAGCUGACCCCUUCCAGACAUCGUUCAACUUCCCAACUUCCCCCCUCACGCCGCGCCGCGAAGCUGUAAUGACGAGAUGCGAAGCAGACGUCCUUGCGGUCAUACGCUCAUCCCGUUCUUCGCCCAAAGCGGAACCGUAUACGAUAAGAUUUUUUGGACACUCCUAAGUGGGUUAAAAAUGGCCAAGAACGGCGUAGUCACAAAAACACGACGUGGCCGACGCAGGGUUAACUUUACACCUGGCACGGCGUAUUGUCAAUAAUUCUUACCAUUAAUCCUAUGAGAUUGCGGACCAAGUCGCUAGAGGUGAACUGUCAUGUUGGGCAUUAUUUUUCUUAUUUUAGAAUUGAACGAUUUGUGUACAUGUUUGAUGGAGAACAUGUUUGGUUUACAUGAUUCUGUAGCUUCUAACUCAUGGUAGAUUUGUAUUUACUAACUUUGAGAUUGCCAAUAGCCUUCGAUAAAUGCGUGGAUGUGUUAACCUGGAAACAGGAAAAAAUUUCGAUUCUAUUUACACCAGAGAAUUGUGGAAGCGAAGAUUACAAAACAUCUUAUCACGUAUGGACGCAAAACUACAAGUAGAUGAGGAUUCCGGCGCAGUUUAGCAGUAAGUUCAACUUCUUCGAAGCAGCAUUGGCUGCGUUCUCAACGUUUUACCGCGAAAAUUUAAGUCUAGGAAGUGUUUCGAAGAAUAUUGUAAAAUCUUUUCACAAGUGAAUGUGCGAGUUGUAUGGAAAGUAAGAAAGUGAUUACCUAUUACAGUAUUGCAAUUUUGAAUCGCAAACUUUGUUGUAUCAGAAAAAUUAUUGCGAACCUCUUACGUGCUAAGGAAACUCGGUGUAUUCAAAGAAUAUUUGUGAGAAAAUCAAACAAACGAAUUGGUUGAUGGGUUGAGGAUUUUUUUGAGAUAUUCGUCGGACCAUGACUAUUUUGAUAUGUGUAUUCUGUGUAUUUUGGCUAUAACUAUGGACAUAAUAAUCUUGGCGAAAUGAGCCUAUGCACUGUUCUCUCUCGUGAACAGAUGUCGAUAUACUGUCUAAGAGCGAAAAGGUUUUCGUCUCAUAAUCGUUGUGUACGAUCCUUCGUGCACUAAUUGAACCCUGAGAACGCUAGAAAAGAUAUCUGGGACACCAUGGAACCAACGGCUUAGGAAAUUGAGAGAAAGUUGAACUAUAGUUGAAAACUACAAAAAUAAU
rnacentral:lncRNA from 1 species